CAAUAGCUAGUUGCAUCAUUUUAACGAUGAUGCAAGAUCGACUAUGUCGAAUAAAAUUCUAGGUAGAAUUAUGAUAAUGACAUUGUCUGCCUAUGUGUCUUGACCAAAUUACGUGCCAGCAGUCGCGGUAAUACGUAGAAGACUAGUGUUAUUCAUGUUUAAUCGGUUUAAAGGGUACCUAGACGGUGAAUCAAGCUUUAUAAGAAAUAUAGUUAAAGGACUAAUUUACUAGAGUUACUUACGAGGGGGCAUUAAAGUACUACUGGUGUAGAGAUGAAAUUCUGUCAUACCUCUUUUCAAAAGAAAAAAUGAAGGCACAGGUAUAGGCGAAGGCAUCUCCUUAUGUGAUAACUGACGUUGAGGGACGAAGGCUUUGUAUAGCGAACAGGAUUAGUUACCCCAGUAGUCGAAGCAGAAAAUGAUGAAUGUCAUAGAUUAGAUGUAAGUUUAUUCUAUAAAUGAAAGUGUAAGCAUUCCACCUCAUGAGUAAUUUGGCAACAUUGGAACUGAAAUCAUUAGACCGUUUCUGAAACCAGUAGUGAAGUAUGUUGUUUAAUUUGAUGAUCCGCAAAAAACCUUACCACAAUUUGAAUAUUUAUAUUUUUUUUUAUUGUUUUCUUAUUAAUUUUCUUCUAAUAACAAGAUAAGACAAUAAAAUGUUUAUGAGAAAAAAGAAGAAAGUUAAUAUAGAGGCAAUAAGAU
rnacentral:rRNA from 1 species